AUACCUGCCCGUCAAACCGAGGCUGCGCACGUCAGCAGCUGGGGGCGGGGCCGACCCAGCCAAUCCGCGGCAGCCGCAGCCAGGUACACAGGAAACAGCUGUCCACCUGUUAAAGCCCCAGGAACUUUUGAAUGUUCAUUUCCUGUUUGAUCAGCGUGGAGAGCUCGUCAGCACAGUUGACCAUGGAUGCUGAAGGCCUCAAAUGCACUGAAGCAUGGAGCACACAGGCAGUGGUGGAUCUGAUUGCUGUGUGGGGAGAAGAGUGCAGGCAGAGCUCCAAACCAGCAGAAGAAACACUGACAUCUAUGCCAGACUCACACAGGGCCUGGGGGAGAAGGGCUAGCCCCAGGGACACACGGCAGUGCCGCGUGAAAAUAAAGGCGCUUUGGCAAGCACACCAGAAGACAAGGGAGGCAAACAGUCACUCUGGUUCUGAGCCGCAGACAUGCCGCUUCUAUGGAGGAGCUGCAUGCGGUUCUAGGUGGCGACCCCGCCACUACCCCAAAAUGCUCUGUGGAUACCUCCCAGGAGCUCUGGGUGACCUUGGGCAACAACAAGGAAGACAUUGUUGACAAGGAAGAGGAGGAGGAGAAUGCGUGGCAGGCAAGCGGAGGAUACAUUCUCCCCGAUAGCCAAGAACUUUUUUUGACUCUGGAGCCCAUUCCCGCACAGGACCAGUUGGCAGCAGAGCAUGAUGCUGGGGAAGGCACCUCUGCUGAAACCUUGUCCAGAGGCGCAUCCUCCACACUGAGACAGAGACUUUCCUAGAUUAGAAGGCGGAAAAAGAAGUCUUGGGAGGAUAUGUUCAAUGAGUUAAUGCAUGCCUCCGAGAGUGACAAGAUGGAGCUCAGCGCAUGGAGGAUUAAACUGUCCGACAGCCUGUACAAUGACCGCGAGGACAGAAGAGCAUGCAGGGAACAUGAGUGUGACAUGCAGGAUGAGAUGGUGUGGAUUAUGAGGAAGCAAACAGACAUGUUGAGGCGUCUGGCUGAGGUUCAAGAAAGGCAACUGGAUGUUAGAGUCCCACUGCAGUCUGCACUGAACCUGCUGCCAUUGUCGCCAAGUUCCACAUCCUCCUCUCCCAGAUGUCCUAGGAUGGGGGAGGAGGGGAUUGGGGGAGUCCGGUAUCCCUUGCACUCAACUCCAGGGGAGAGUGCAAAGACCAGAAAGUGCCCAUUCCCACACCUUUGAUUGUUACUGCGGUGCAACUGUAAGCAAGCUGUCCUUGUUUCUCCCCUACCUUCCCCCAAGUUUUAUCUUACUUUUCUUUGCUGUCUCUCAGUGUUUGUGAGCAUAAUAAAAAUAAGUGGAUU